rnacentral:lncRNA from 10 species
UGCCUCCUGGGUUCAAGUGAUUCUCGUGCCUCAGCCUUCCAAGUAGCUGGGAUUACAGGCACGUGCCACCACACAGAGCUAAUUUUUUUAUUUUUAGUAGAGCCAGGGUUUCACCAUGUUGGCCAGGCUGCUCUCGAACUCCUGACCUCAAGUCAUCGGCCUGCCUCAGCCUCCCAAAGUGCUGGGAUUACAGGCAUGAGCUCGGCCUGUUCUGUCUUUUGAAUGAGUCCUUUAAUCCAUUUGUUGUCCAUCAGCGGACAGAAGAAAUCUGUAAAAAAGAGGAAGUAUUUGGUUACGGUGGUAGCCAGUCUCCAAAGGUAGCUCCUACAGUUCUUCUCCUCCCUGUACUGUAGUCCCAUCCUCACAGGAAGAGAUGGAGUUACACCCCUUCCCUUUGAAUUUGGGCUACUCCUGUGACUGCU